rnacentral:rRNA from 1 species
AUGGCCGUUGCAGGAGACACUGGGACGUCCAAAGGCAAAGAUGUAGAUGAUGUUGUCUAUGGAGACUUUGCUCAUUGGGCCUCCACUGAUGAAGGUAAUCCGGAAAGAGCAUCUCUUGCUACUAAUGAGAGUGCUCCAGAGUGGGUUCUUGACUCUGGAGCAUCUAAGCAUGUUGCUAGUAACUCCUGUGUGUUCGAGUCUUACACUAAGCAUCCUCCCUCUCACAUGGGCACUAUACAAACGUCUGAUGGCACAAAACAACCAGUCAUAGGGGUUGGUACAGUAAAGUGUACUCCGACCAUUUCCCUAUCAUGUGCCACCUUUCCUAUCAAUUUGGUCUCUUUCAGUGCAUUCAUUGAUCAAAUGGACUGUCGUGUGAUCCUUAACAAGUUCGAUUGCUUGAUACAGGUGUGA